AGGGUUGUGGCUCAGUAGCAAAGUUUCUGCUUUGCAUGCAAAAGGUCCCAGGUUCAAUCCUUGGUGUUUCUU
rnacentral:tRNA from 1 species